rnacentral:rRNA from 1 species
AUUGAACGCUGGCGGCAGGCCUAACACAUGCAAGUCGAGCGAGCGGCGGACGGGUGAGUAAUGUCUGGGAAACUGCCUGCUGGAGGGGGAUAACUACUGGAAACGGUAGCUAAUACCGCAUACCAUCGGAUGUGCCCAGAUGGGAUUAGCUAGUAGGUGGGGUAACGGCUCACCUAGGCGACGACCCCUAGCUGGUCUGAGAGGAUGACCAGCCACACUGGAACUGAGACACGGUCCAGGCUCCUACAGGAGGCAGCAGUGGAGAAUAUUGCACAAUGGGCGCAAGCCUAAUGCAGCCAAGCCGCGUAUGUGAAGAAGGCCUUCGGGUUGUAAAGCACUUACAGCGGAGAAGCGUUACCCGCAGAAGAAGCAGCGGCUAACUCCAUGACAGCAGCCGCGGUAAUAC